rnacentral:rRNA from 1 species
CUAACAAGGAUUCCCCUAGUAACUGCGAGUGAAGCGGGAAGAGCUCAAAUUUAAAAUCUGGUGGUCCUUGACCAUCCGAGUUGUAAUUUAGAGAAGCGUCUUCCGCGCCGGACCGUGCACAAGUCUCCUGGAAUGGAGCGUCAUAGAGGGUGAGAAUCCCGUCUUUGGCAUGGAUGCCCGGUGCCUCUGUGAUGCGCUCUCGAAGAGUCGAGUUGUUUGGGAAUGCAGCUCAAAAUGGGUGGUGAACUCCAUCUAAAGCUAAAUAUUGGCGAGAGACCGAUAGCGAACAAGUACCGUGAGGGAAAGAUGAAAAGCACUUUGGAAAGAGAGUGAAACAGUACGUGAAAUUGUUGAAAGGGAAACGCUUGAAGUCAGUCGCGUCGAUCGAGACUCAGCCUUGCCUCGGCUUGGUGUACUUCUCGGCUCGACGGGUCAGCAUCAAUUUCGCCCCUCGGAUAAUGGCAAGGGAAAGGUGGCACCUUUGCGGGUGUGUUAUAGUCUCCUGUCGCACGCGAGGGGUGGGAUUGAGGAACUCAGCGUGCACCUCUGGUGUCGGGGCUUUUGGCCCACGCGACGCGCUUAGGAUGCUGGCGUAAUGGCUUUAAACGACCCGUCUUGAAACACGGACCAAGGAGUCCAACAUGCCCGCGAGUGUUCGGGUGGAAAACCCGUGCGCGUAAUGAAAGUGAAAGUUGGGACCUCUGUCGUGGAGGGCACCGACGCCCGGACCAGACCUUCUGUGACGGAUCUGCGGUAGAGCGUGCAUGUUGGGACCCGAAAGAUGGUGAACUAUGCCUGAAUAGGGUGAAGCCAGAGGAAACUCUGGUGGAGGCUCGUAGCGAUUCUGACGUGCAAAUCGAUCGUCAAAUUUGGGUAUAGGGGCGAAAGACU